CAGCCAUCUCUCUCGGCCUGCACUUUCCUACUGUGUGCGCGCUCCAUGUUGGGUAUAGCUCAUGCUGCUCAGUGUUAAUAAUACAUCCUUGAUACACAAUACACUAAAAAAUAAGAAAAGCAAUCUGUUUAUGGUAUUGAACACCUGCUCAUUACAUCUGCGUGUCGUUUAUAGAUACAGAGGAUUUAAUACUGUCAUAAAAACUUGUACUAUAAUGGGUUCUUCUGAAGAAUGGGAUGUUGAACAGCAUAAAAUGGAACAUGAAUGUGAUGAACAUUGGGAACUUAGACGAAAAUUUCUGCUUGCACAUCGUGACAAAUUUACGGAAGAAGAAUUACUCUGUCUAGCACAAGUGUUUACUAAUGUGGAAUUCCUAGGCUGUCGUUAUCCAGAAGAAACAAUGCAGAUGAUAGCGGAAUUAUCUCAAGAUGUGGCAAAGGACUACAGAGAAAAGCAAAAGACAAAGUUACAAAGAACAUUUGUCAAAGCUUCGGAUGCUGCCAGUGCAAAGGUCAAAGGAUUUAAUAAAUAUUCAGGCAGUUCAGGAAGUACAACAAAUUCAAGUAUAAAAGAUUGUAUCUCCUCAUCUAAAAAAUGUCGACGGACAUCCCUUACGACACAGCCUAUUAAAAAAAUGAAAUGGAAUUCUGGUAAAUUUGGAAACAUCGUAUUGGUGGAACAUGGAGACAGUGCACCUCAAAGUAUUAUUAUGAAUGCUGUUACUGCAAGUGGAAGUAAUCUAGAGUGGAAGUAUGAUAAAAGCGAAAGUGGGUGCACCUGCAAAAUUUACAUUAACACAAAGUUUUUGUCAGAAGGAUGUGGUUGCAAUCAAAAAGCGGCAAAAAAAGAAGCUGCCAUUGCGGGUUUGAAUGAAUUACGAAAGUUUCAUUAUACAAUCAAGGUUAAGAAAAUGAUGGGUCAUAAUAGCGAAUCAACAAUAAGCAGUAAAAUGUUGAAUACUGAAUCUGUAGAAGAUCAUCGAAUUCCUGAUGAUAAUAUUGGGAUGAAACUAAUGAAACUGAUGGGUUGGUCGGGUGGCGGACUUGGAAAGGAACAACAAGGCAUUGCUGAGCCUAUCAUAGUACGACAACAAAUAAGCAGAAAGGGGUUUGGAUUGCAAGACAGCUCACCUAAUAUUUUGCAAACCCUUCAAAAAAAGUGUCGACAAACAUUGAAAGAAUAUAAGGCUGGUGACAUGAGAACAGAUUUAGUGUUCUCGGCCGAUUUUACAAAUGACGAAAGAGCCGUUAUACACAGAUUUACGGGGCAAAACAGUGAAAAUAUAAACCAGCUAAGUUGAAAAAUGGAAAAACUUUUUAUAAAGUUAUGAAAAUGUAUACUGCUAUUGGGACAAUAAUAUAGUAGAACCCCAUUGUUGGAAGCAUCUUGGGACCGAGUAGCAAGAGAGUUUGGAUUAAAAUCAAACAGUUAUGGACCAAAAGAUCAACGGACUCUUAUUGUAUCUCGCAAGAUUGAUCCAUGGGAGCUUGUCGAUGAAUUGAAGACACUUGGUGGAUAUACCGAAAAAUAUGAACUCGUUAAUCCGACAAAUUCAUAAUGCGAUAAAUGAAGACAAUAUAAAUAAGUGAUUUUUCUCUCCUUUUCUCGAUCUUAGAUACCAAUUAAACAUUGUAAACAUACAAAAUUACGAUUUAUUUGUACAUAUGUCACAAGGGUGAAGUAUGUGUUUGCUUUUCAAUAAUAUUAAAUCUCGAAAUCCAAUGUUUCAA